rnacentral:rRNA from 1 species
UGGGGAAUAUUGCACAAUGGGCGCAAGCCUGAUGCAGCCAUGCCGCGUGUAUGAAGAAGGCCUUCGGGUUGUAAAGUACUUUCAGCGGGGAGGAAGGGAGUAAAGUUAAUACCUUUGCUCAUUGACGUUACCCGCAGAAGAAGCACCGGCUAACUCCGUGCCAGCAGCCGCGGUAAUACGGAGGGUGCAAGCGUUAAUCGGAAUUACUGGGCGUAAAGCGCACGCAGGCGGUUUGUUAAGUCAGAUGUGAAAUCCCCGGGCUCAACCUGGGAACUGCAUGUGAUACUGGCAGGCUUGAGUCUCGUAGAGGGGGUAGAAUUCCAGGUGGAGCGGUGAAAUGCGUAGAGAUCUGGAGGAAUACCGGUGGCGAAGGCGGCCCCCUGGAAGAAGACUGACGCUCAGGUGCGAAAGCGUGGGGAGCAAACAGG